AACGAACGCUGGCGGCGUGCUUAACACAUGCAAGUCGAACGAGAAGGGGGGCUUGCCCCCUGGAUAGUGGCGCACGGGUGAGUAACGCGUGGAUAACCUACCCUGGUAUCUGGGAUAACAUCUCGAAAGGGGUGCUAAUACCGGAUAAGCCCACGAGCUCUUUGGAGCUUGCGGGAAAAGGUGGCCUCUGAAUAUGCUACUGUAUCAGGAUGGGUCCGCGUACCAUUAGCUAGUUGGUAGGGUAAAGGCCUACCAAGGCUACGAUGGUUAGCUGGUCUGAGAGGAUGAUCAGCCACACUGGAACUGAGACACGGUCCAGACUCCUACGGGAGGCUG
rnacentral:rRNA from 1 species